UUGAGGCAGUGCGUCUGUUUUUCUUCCUUUGGAGGGAGAGCUUCUCCUUCUCAGUUUUUCCUCUUUUGAUUUUUCGUACAAAAAUCAUGAUCUAUGAAGAUCUAACCGUUCAAUUUCAAAUCCGACUUCAGUAACGUGAUCUACGAAACCCGAUCUACGUUUCUACCGAUUGGUUUGAGGUGAUGAACUGAGAGAAUGUACGAAAAGAUUCCCAUGUUGCAGGUACGAAAGUGUAUAAAGCUCAAGGAUAGGAGUUGGUUAGCAUUACAAGAAUUAGAACUGUUCGUUAAUGUAGUUGAUGAUUGUAGUGAUUUCUUGUAUCAAUUUGGAAUGUAAUACUUUAAUUACAUUUGUCACUCAAUAAAUUCCGAUGUAUCUUUUUAAAGAGAAUAAAUUUAUAUUCCGCUGCGUCAGUUAUCUCUGAUGUAGUAACGUCACGUGGGAACUGGAGGUUUCUGCUUACGAAUU